UCCCGGCACAGCCGCCCUCCCCGGCGCCCCGCGGCCCAGGGGGUACUCGCGGGCGCCCCUCGGCAGGGCUGGGACCCGGGGGACGGGCAGCGGGUUGGCGGCAGCAGGAGCCGCGGCCGGGCCGUGUGUCCCCCCGUGUCCCCUCGUGUCCCCCCGUGUCCCGGCAGCUCCGCCGUGCCGCUCACACGUCAGCAGCUGCGGGGCGGCCGCGGCUGCUCCUCCAGCUCCCGGGGGAGGCAGGUCCGGGGCCCCCGCAGGUAAAUCCCCAGCAGGUCCGGUGCCCAGCAGGAAGCGUCGCUCGCUGAGGUGCGAGAGCACAGGGCCUGCCGGCCGCCUUCCCCCCUCCCUUUUGCCGUUUCUUUGCUGCCAAGUGCUUGUUGCUCUACAGAGGCAAACACCUUCCAGCCCAGGAAGGCCCCGAGUGCACAGAACUGUCUCCGGUGGCCCCCGACGCUGGGGUCGGUGGCCCCGGGCCUCCCUCCACCCUCUGCCCGCUUGCCAGGGCCCGGUGGUGCCAGACGGGCCCCCCGAGCCGCCGCGCUGCUUUGUCAGGGAGCCUCAGCGCCUCUUUGUCUGCCUCCUCCCCGCCGCUUCUCGGGGGGUGAGAGCAGAACCUGGCGCUGCCGGGGCCGGGAAGGAGGUGCGAAAUGUCCCCAGCACGGAGAGACGGGCUGUGAGCGGCGUCGGGAGGAACCCACCGGGGCUGCGGCGGUCGGUGCCGGGCCUCUUGGCAGAGAGGCUGAUGCGGGGACUGCGCAAAUAAAGGCAGGAGAGGGGUAAUUAGUGCCCGCCAGCGCUGCCGCCUGCAAGAUGAGGCUUGUCGAGCGAACUCGAUGGGAUUGCAGAUCUGGCUGGCAGAGGGAAGGGUGGAUGCGAUGAGCCCGUCUGUGGCCCUGGCAUCGCCGGGCAGCACGGCAGAACGAGCGCCGGACAAAACCUGCUCGGGAGUGUUUUAAGCAGAUAGAAGAACUUGUUGCUGGUGGAUCUUGGAAAGUUGCUUGCACUGACUAAUUGCUUUCUGGAGGUUUCUGCAGGGGCCUGGUAGAAACCCCUUUUUGAGCCGGGAUCCUGCGAGCUGUCGGCUGAGGGCAGCAGAGGAGGAGGGCCCUGGCAGCGGGGCCGUUGCGGUGAUACGGUUUGCUGAGCCAGGCUGGUUGGUUUUUCUGCUGGAACGCGGGGUGGGAUCGGAGGGACCAGGGGCGGGUGGUGGUUGUAGGAAGAACUCGGACCGUGGUGUGCAAAGGGCCGAGCUGCAGGAAGCAGGGACUGCACCAGGUACAGCCGGGCUCUGCAGGCAUCUGAGGGACGGGGAGACGCCGGGAGGUUUAGAGAAGGGCUAAAAGCUGGGGUACGUUUGGGGAAAGCCUGCUAACAGCACGAGGCCAAAGAAGACUCUUCAUCUUAUCGAAGGCAGAUGGUGAUUAGAUUAUCUCAUCUUCAGUGUGCCUCUGUGGGGAGGAGGUUUUGGAUUCUUCAGGGCCCCAGUACAUGCUGGACACAGGCAGAACUCUGGAGGCUGGGUGAAGCCAGAGAUAAGGUGGGAAUAUCUGAUAGUGCAUGGAACUGUCCAUUCAAACAGUUUUCCUGGAGGAACCGGGGAGUGUGCACAGCUUGGAGCAUCCCUGUUGGGCUUGGGCCCCCUUUGCAGCUCCCAUCUGCUGGCCUUGGCGUUGGCCGAGCGGUGGGAGGGCUCCCCAGUUGCUGCAAGGCCGUGGUGGUCCUUUCUGCAGGUGGAUGGAGGUGUCUGCUGGGAGACUGCUGGUGCCUCCGCCUCCUGUUCAUGGUGACAACGUCAAGGGGUCCUGGAGCAGGGGCUGGAGCCUCUGCUGAGCUCUUCAAGCCGAGAUGGUGGUUGUGGCAGGGGCCCACGUGCUCCCACGCGCAGGAAGAGCUGGUGGGCCCUGUUCCCUGCAUGCUGUGGGGACUGGGACUCCAGGAAACCCCUGGCUGUGGGUCUUGAGUUGUGGUGACGCUGAGGAUGAAGGGAGAUGUACAGGCAAGGCUGCUGGAGCAGAGAGGGUUUUUGUUAAUGACUGACAGUGCAAAACGCUCUAUUAAAACGUGCAGCCCUUCUGAACACGGAGGACGGGGAUGGACAGCAAUGGAAGCAUCCACCAGUUACUGGCUGUGUGGUUUGUGGUACCUGCACUGUGUUGAGGUUGGGGGACGGGCGAUGUUCCCUGGGAGCCCUGUGCCUGCUGUAGCUGCCCUGACCGUUCUGGAAAACUGAAGACAGGCAGGAAUACCUUGGCCGUGUCAUCCCUCCUGCCUGGCCACGCGGUGCUUUGCCAUCGUAGUGUGUCCUCACAUCUUUCUGCCUUGCACGGGAACUGCGACGUCUUGCAGGGACGUGCUCACAGUGACCUCUGCAGUGGCUCCUGCUCCGUUACAAAUGCUUGCUGGACACGGUGGGGACCAGGACAGGUCCUUCUCCAUGUCCUUAGUCUGGGCAGUCCUUUCCCUACAGCCCUGCAUAACAUACCGGCCCUGUACAGCUUGCUUGAGCGAGGCAGAUACCCGGGAGAUGUCUUCUCUGCCGUGUUUGCGUUAGGCAACGUGAGCAGCAUUUCCAGGAGGAUGCAGCAGUGCGGGACCUCCCUGCACGAGGACACCCAGGACACAGCUGGGCGACCAGGCUGGGGAUGUGCCCGGUGAGGGCUUUGCGUCCUGCCCGCCGGGACCGAUCGCUGGCGUGUUUGCAGGGACAGCAGGGUCAGUGCCGCGGGGUGUGGGAACGGCCGGCCAGGAAGCUCCUGGGCGUGUGUCUUUCCUGCGAGAGCCUCCCUGGACUGAGUCAUCCUGCGCCGUGCUCCGCCGGCCCGCGCUCCCUCCUCCCGUGCCGUGGGGUCACCGCUGGCCCCGCCGCCCGCCCCGGGCAGGGGACCAGACCCUUCUUGGAAGGCCAGCAAACCAUUUGGUUUGCUUUUGGGUUUGGCUUCAGUGUCCACCAAAAGCCAAGCUGUAAGAAGGGUCAAACUGCAGAAAUUUUGCACCUGGCAGAGAGAGCAAACUGAGCUUGUUCGUAACUCAGAGCGACUCCGGCGUGGAACCCAGCAGUCCUGGGGGGAGCCCAAGCUUCAUCUCCAAGGCAAGACACCUCUUUAUAAAGUGAAAGAUCUCUCUAGGUACCCUCUGGGGACCUCUCUGUAGACCGGAGCAUCUUGUUGUCACAAAAGGUGGUGGCAGGUGGGAUGUUUGUUGGCAAGAUGGGGUGAAGAGCCCCCGCUCUGCCCUGGGAUCUCAGCGUCUGAACUGUGAACUCUGUUGAAGAGCCGCUGUCUGUCGCAGCGUAAAAACUUUGCUGCGAGAACCUGGUGAUGAUUUGGCCCUUUGCCUGAA